rnacentral:tRNA from 1 species
GGGGAUGUAGCUCACCGGGUAGAGCGUCGCGUUCGCAAUGCGAAGGUAGUGGGUUCGAGUCCCAUCAUCUCCACCA